rnacentral:lncRNA from 1 species
UAUACUGAACGACUUUAGAAACGCAACACUCAUUUUGUUGAUUUUUUUUACCAAAUCUUUUUUGAUUCUCUUACAACUACUUUUCAUGCUUAUCAUGCUUCUUUCUCCUUACAAAAAAUCAAAAUCAGACUUACCUGCGGUUAUUGAACAUACCGUUUUUUUGAAGUCGCACGAAUUUCUUAAAGCGAAAUUUUUGUCCCAUGAAAGAUUGUUUCAGUUUUUUUGCUUUGUGAAACAUUUCUUUCAAUCCUUUGCCUUACUUACUUUUUUUUUAAAUGUUGCAUCUCCAUUUUGCCAAGUCUGAGAAAUAAAAAAAAACAAAAGAACUGAAUUAACCCUUAAGAAUACUGCAAACAUGAAAACAUAAAUGUGCUGCAACCAUACCGUAUGACUUCAGAAACUCGUUCUACUGUCCUUCCGACAACGAUACAAGUAGACAAGAUUUGUUGAUGGCCAUCAAUGAACAGAUCAACGUGUAGUGACAAUGAAACAUCAACAGAAUUUGAUUAUGCAACGUCAUUUGCCAAUCAUGUACACGGCCGCAAAGUCAACUGCUAACCAAAUUGCCGAGUGCCAUUGAGUACAGAUUCAUGCCAUAAAUGUUUCCCAUGAACUGCAUUGCCAAUGAAUUGACUGAAGGAAAACCUGUAAAGCCCUCAAGUUCCAACCGCAUAAUUGCCAAAACCAAUUAAUGGGUUGGACAAAUGCAAAAUCAGAAGGUGUAAAACAGAACCCAAAAAAUGUCAGACAGAAUUUGUUGACCUUUCUGACAAUCAUUUUGGCGUUAGUAACAGGCAGUCAUCGCUUUUGACGUUGACACAUUCAUUCAAAAAUAACAC